rnacentral:rRNA from 1 species
GAAGGUCUUCGGAUUGUAAACCCCUUUCGGGAGGGAAGAUGGAACGAGCAAUCGUUCGGACGGUACCUCCAGAAGCAGCCACGGCUAACUUCGUGCCAGCAGCCGCGGUAAUACGAAGGUGGCAAGCGUUGUUCGGAUUUACUGGGCGUACAGGGAGCGUAGGCGGUUCGGUAAGCCCUCUGUGAAAUCUCCAGGCUUAACCUGGAACAGUCGGAGGGGACUGCUGGGCUAGAGGACGGGAGAGGAGCGCGGAAUUCCCGGUGUAGCGGUGAAAUGCGUAGAGAUCGGGAGGAAGGCCGGUGGCGAAGGCGGCGCUCUGGAACGUAUCUGACGCUGAGGCUCGAAAGCGUGGGGAGCAAACAGGAUUAGAUACCCUGGUAGUCCACGCCUUAAACUAUGAAUACUAAGUGUCGGCGGGUUACCGCCGGUGCCGCAGCUAACGCAUUAAGUAUUCCGCCUGGGAAGUACGGCCGCAAGGUUGAAACUCAAA